ACAGAAUGUAAAUUGUGCACCACUCUCAAGCCUGGCAUCUUUUUCAUUGGAGCUUUAGAAGAUUUUAAUAAAGCCGGAAGCUUUUCAAAAAAGUAAAAAUGUUAUCAAAUGGAAUUUUAAUUCUUCAAAGCCCUUUCAUCGUCUCACUGCAACCAUCAAGUUCUCAUACCAGACCUCAAGGCAUCUGAAUCAACACUCUGGGCUCUUAGGAUUUAUAUUAUACAUCAGGACUGCUGGGGUGAAAUUUGCAUAAUUUAAAUUAUGACCAACACAUAUUAGGGAAGAUUCGCCCUGAGCUAACAUCUGUGCCAGUCUUCCUCUAUUUUGCACGUGGGUCGCCGACAAGUGGUGUAUGUCCAUGCCCGGGAACCAAACCCAGGCCGCCGAAAUGGAGCUCACUGAACUUAACCACUAGGCCACAGGGCUAGCCUUCUAUCUUCUUAAGUGACUCCCAGAAUCACUGGAUUUGUCUUACCAUUUUUCAUCUUCUUUAAACCAAGUUUAUUACUCUCUUACCAAUAAGCCAGCAUUCUGCUUUUAUUAUUUCCCAAAAGGCAUAUGAUGAAUCCUCUUCUGUGAAAGAAUAAACAAUGCAAAGCUAUAAUGAGCUAAGGAUUUCCAUUAUUUGAACUGCUUUCCAGCAGCACGUUGACCUUUCUUCAUACAGAUUUUCAUUCUAGAGAUAGGACGAUGUGUGCUUAUGGAAGGCAGACUGAAGGCCCCCAAAGAUGCCCAUGCACAAAUCCCUGAAACCUACGAAUAUAAUGAGAUGAGCCCAGAUGGGCCUGAUGUAACCACAGAAGAGGAAGACAGAGAGAUCCAGAGCGUGAGAAGGGCUCCAUGUGCCACUGCUGCCUUGAGGAUGGAGAGGGCCACAGGGAAAGUAUGGGAAGAAACUGUAUUCUGCCAACACCACGGAGCUUGGAAGAGGACCCUGAGCCUCAGAUGAGAAUGGUGUCCCCACCCGCACCUCAAUUUCAGCCCCGUGAGACCCUGGACGAGAAUCCAGCAAUUCUGAGCUGGACUUUUGACCCAGAGUAAGGUGAGCUAAUAAAUAGGCAUUGUUUUAAGAUACUAAGUAUGUCGGAAUUUGUUAGGGCAAUGAUAGAAAACUAACACAAUUUUUUAAACUGAUGCCUAAAUAUGUAUCAUAAUAUAGGGUAUGCACAGAUUGUGGGAUUCGACUCUGGCUCGUUGUAUCAGUUACAGUGUAGUAUCAAACUGAAUACUAUUCCCAAGGCCCCGGGGGUCUGGGCCUGUGAAUGUACAGGAGUCAUAAUCAUGUUUUAUCAUUUCUGCAUUAAUCCACUUGCUCCAUAGGGAAAAUAAUCCAAUAAAUAUUUUACUUGAUAUAGUUCCCAUAAUUAUAUCAAUAAAGCAAUAAUCCCAGGUUCAUUUCUUGGUUUACCCUCCCCACAUUAUCUUGACUAUCUUGAUUCACUCUCCCCACACCCAUCGCAACUAAUAUGUUAUAAGCUCCCAUAAUAUCAUGUGUGUGUAGGCUUAAAUAUUUAAUACAAUGUUCUAUUUGUUUUUGCAUAGCUCUGAACCUCACAAAGAUAAGAUGCUUGAAAGUUUAAGAGAUGUGUUUUUACUUAUAUUUUAUACCCAGCACAUUGCAGGUGACACGUGUUCAAUCAAUGCUGAUUUAAUGAAUGGCUGAUUUAAUGAAUAAUUACAUCUUCUAUUUUAUCAGCUACUAAAGUAUACCUCCCUCUUCUAUAAUCUCUCUCUCCAUAAAUACAUUUUUUGUGCAUGUUUUUCAGUCCUUGA